AAAGUUUCGUAAGGCAUUUGCUA
rnacentral:snRNA from 1 species